rnacentral:SRP_RNA from 1 species
AGAUGGACCUCACGUAACAGGCUCUUAUGAACUCCGUCAGGUCCGGAAGGAAGCAGCGGUAAAUAAGAAAGCAUGUGUCGUGGCGGAAUCUAUCUCUG